AAGUCGUAACAAGGUUUCCGUAGGUGAACCUGCGGAAGGAUCAUUAUUGAAUAAACUUGGUUAGGUUGCUGCUGGUCUUUAGGGACAUGUGCACAUCUAAUUCAAAUUUUAACCACCUGUGCACCUUUUGUAGACUUGGAUAAUUUCUCUGAGGAAACUCAGUAUGAGGAUUGCUGUGCGAAAGUCAGCUUUUCUUGCAUUUCCUAGUCUAUGUUUUAUAUACCCCAAUAAGCAAGUAAUAGAAUGUAAUUAAUAGGCCUUUUGUGCCUUUAAAACAAAUAUAACUUUCAACAACGGAUCUCUUGGCUCUC
rnacentral:misc_RNA from 1 species